rnacentral:rRNA from 1 species
AUUGAACGCUGGCGGCAGGCCUAACACAUGCAAGUCGAGCGGGAACUUCGGUUCUAGCGGCGGACGGGUGAGUAAUGCGUAGGAAGCUACCCGACAGAGGGGGAUACCAGUUGGAAACGACUGUUAAUACCGCAUAAUGUCUACGGACCAAAGUGUGGGACCUUCGGGCCACAUGCUGUCGGAUGCGCCUACGUGGGAUUAGCUAGUUGGUGAGGUAAUGGCUCACCAAGGCGACGAUCCCUAGCUGGUUUGGGAGGAUGAUCAGCCACACUGGAACUGAGACACGGUCCAAACUCCUACGGGAGGCAGCAGUGGGGAAUAUUGGACAAUGGGCGCAAGCCUGAUCCAGCCAUGCCGCGUGUGUGAAGAAGGCCUUCGGGUUGUAAAGCACUUUCAGUAGGGAGGAAGAGUUGAGUGUUAAUAGUACUCAGCUUUGACGUUACCUACAGAAGAAGCACCGGCUAACUCUGUGCCAGCCGCCGCAGUAAGAC